rnacentral:rRNA from 1 species
CUACGGGCGGCUGCAGUGGGGAAUAUUGCACAAUGGGCGCAAGCCUGAUGCAGCCAUGCCGCGUGUGUAAAGAAGGCCUUCGGGUUGUAAAGCACUUUCAGCGGGGAGGAAGGCGGUGAGGUUAAUAACCUCAUCGAUUGACGUUACCCGCAGAAGAAGCACCGGCUAACUCCGUGCCAGCAGCCGCGGUAAUACGGAGGGUGCAAGCGUUAAUCGGAAUUACUGGGCGUAAAGCGCACGCAGGCGGUCUGUCAAGUCGGAUGUGAAAUCCCCGGGCUCAACCUGGGAACUGCAUUCGAAACUGGCAGGCUAGAGUCUUGUAGAGGGGGGUAGAAUUCCAGGUGUAGCGGUGAAAUGCGUAGAGAUCUGGAGGAAUACCGGUGGCGAAGGCGGCCCCCUGGACAAAGACUGACGCUCAGGUGCGAAAGCGUGGGGAGCAAACAGGAUUAGAUACCCGUGUAGUC